rnacentral:rRNA from 1 species
AACGAACGCUGGCGGCAGGCUUAACACAUGCAAGUCGAACGCCUGGGAGCGAUCCCGGGAGUGGCAGACGGGUGAGUAACACGUGGGAACAUACCCUUUGGUUCGGAACAACUCUGGGAAACUAGAGCUAAUACCGGAUAAGCCUCUGGAGCGAGUUUUGGGGGGAAAGGUUAGAUCUGCCUGAGGAUUGGCCCGCGUCCGAUUAGCUUGUUGGUGGGGUAACGGCUCACCAAGGCUUCGAUCGGUAGCUGGUCUGAGAGGAUGGCCAGCCACAUUGGGACUGAGACACCGGCCCCAAACUCCUACGGGAGGCAGCAGGUGGGGAAUAUUGGACAAUGGGCGCAAGCCUGAUCCAGCCAU